UAAAUCGUUAGAUGUAAAAUUGAAUUAAUGCUGAAAUUAUACCCGGGCCUAUGCCUUUGCUGCCCAUGUGACAGGAUUGAAUGAAUGACAAACUGAGAUUUGAAAAUGAGUUUUUUAUCCAACACCAUGGAAGAAAAGAUCAAUGUCUCUUGUUUAAUAUGUGCUGACAAUUGUCUUUUGAUUUAUGGGCAGUCAUUAGCUGAGGUUGAAAAAUCACGGGCUCGUCAUUUUUUUCAUGGAAACAUGUGGACUGAAGUUGGUACCAAUCAAUGUGAUGGGACUGAAAUAUUUAUAUUGGAAGUAGUAAUUAGUGUGAUGACACCAUGAAUUAAUAGCUCAAAGACACAUUGAAUUAAUGGUCAAAAUCAGAAUUUUGAAGCAUUUGACUGGAUCCUGGAAUAUGGCCCACUUCCAUUGGUAUGUACCUUUUGCAAACAAUAUUCAUUUCUCUUUGUGUUCUUAUGUUUAUUCAAUAAAGCUAAUGUCUAUUUUUAACUUAUUAUAACUGCAAAACAGCAUUUUACAUGUUUGGUAUUCAUUUAACCAAGGUCCAAGUUAAGGCUUUGUUGCCGAGGAAAGCUUUAUAAAAUGAAUCUGACAAUGACCACAUGUGUGUAUCCACAUUUGGAUUGUUAAAAUUAAUCUUCCUUACACUAAUGAUUUAUUUAUAUACUAUAGAUGAAAUCGUAAAGCCAGAUGGGUGAUUGCAAAUGCUUUCAUAACUUCGAAGCCAAUAAAUUAAUGCCCCCAUUAUAUUUAAUGUUACUCAUUUAUUACAGUUUUGAUAUAAUGCAGAGUGUUGACAAUUGAUUAGUUCUAGUGCCUGUUUGAUGUGUAAUUAUAAGAUGCAGGUCCUGCGGAAUGUGUGGAUGGUAAGUGGGUAGUAAUUGUGUGGGGAUAAAAAUUAUGUUUGACCAGAAAUGAUUAAACUAUAUUCACUUCCCAAACAUGCUAGUGUCCACAAACGUUUGAUCGGUGAAAAUAAAGUAUUUUUGUGAACUUAAUUAAUGCAGAAUCAACACUUGGGUCAUUGGUUUGAGAUCUGAAAUUGAAAUUGUUUAAAUUAAAAUCUCCAUGGAAAAAUAUCAAUCUCCCCUGUUUAAUCUAUUCCGACUAGUAUCAUUUGGUUUUUUGAUAUUUAUGAGAGAUUAAUUAUUGGCUGUGAUUUGCAGUGGGUGAACAAUAUAUGGAGGAAUGAAGGUGGCAGAUACCAAUGUAUUUUUGCGAAUGGUAGCCUGAAUAGUCGAAAUCAAUGUGAUGAGCUGAAUAUAUUUUGAUUGAGAGCCAAAAUCAUUGUGAUGACACUAUGUAUUAAAAGCUCAAAGUUAUGUCCCUGAAAAUUUUACAACAUUUGAUUUGGUCCUGGUCUUUGGCCUUCCUUAAUUGGUAAGUACAUAAUCAGUAUUUUUUUUCAUUUUUGAUAUUAUCCAUGUUCUUGUUCAACAAAGGGUGAAUUAAGAUAUGCUAUGCUACAUUCUGCUAGUAUUUCACCUCUUCUAGCAGUCUGGAUUAAGUUCAUAUGUGAUACUUCCGUCUAAUUUGUUGUCUGGUGCACUGAGUCGAUGAAUUUUUUCCAAUUGAGCCUCUUAAAAAUGCAUAUGUAGAUGUUUAGAGUUCUGUACUGAAAGAAAUCUUUAUACAAACUAAUUUUUCUUAUAUCGGUUGUACUCUAAUAAUCAGUUAACUUG
rnacentral:lncRNA from 1 species